UGGAUCAUGUUGUUUAAUUCGAUGAUACGCGAAGAACCUUACCAGGUCUUGACAUCCCUUGCAAAGCUAUGGAGACAUAGUGGAGGUUAUCAAGGAGACAGGUGGUGCAUGGUUGUCGUCAGCUCGUGUCGUGAGAUGUUGGGUUAAGUCCCGCAACGAGCGCAACCCUUAUUGCUAGUUACCAUCAUUAAGUUGGGGACUCUAGCGAGACUGCCAGUGAUAAACUGGAGGAAGGUGGGAUGACGUCAAGUCCUCAUGGCCUUUAUGUCUAGGGCUACACACGUACUACAAUGGCAGGUACAAAGGGCAGCGACACAGCGAUGUGAUGCGAAUCCCGAAAAGCCUGUCUCAGUCCGGAUCGGAGUCUGCAACUCGACUCCGUGAAGUUGGAAUCGCUAGUAAUCGUGGAUCAGCAUGCCACGGUGAAUACGUUCCCGGGCCUU
rnacentral:rRNA from 1 species